rnacentral:rRNA from 1 species
AUUGAACGCUGGCGGCAGGCCUAACACAUGCAAGUCGAGCGAGCGGAGGACGGGUGAGUAAUGUCUGGGAAACUGCCGGAUGGAGGGGGAUAACUACUGGAAACGGUAGCUAAUACCGCAUACCAUCCGAUUUGCCCUGAUGGGAUUAGCUAGUAGGUGGGGUAACGGCUCACCUAGGCGACGAACCCUAGCUGGUCUGAGAGGAUGACCAGCCACACUGGAACUGAGACACGGUCCAGACUCCUACGGGAGGCAGCAGUGGGGAAUAUUCCACAAUGGGCGCAAGCCUGAUGCAGCCAUGCCGCGUGUGUGAAGAAGGCUUUCGGGUUGUAAAGCACUUUCGGCGGGGAGGCGUUACCCGAAGAAGAAGCACCGGCUAACUCCGUGCCAGCAGCCGCGGUAAUAG